ensembl:snoRNA
AUCCUUCUGUAGUUCAUAAGCAUGAUGACUGGAUUUUUCACCAGCAUGUGUGAAGUAUGCUUUCCCAAAACCUUGUUACAACAUCAGCGCAUUACCAAUUUAACA